rnacentral:rRNA from 1 species
UACGGGGGGGGCAAGCGUUGUCCGGAAUUACUGGGCGUAAAGGGCUCGUAGGCGGCCAACUAAGUCAAAUGUGAAAUCCCUCGGCUUAACCGGGGAACUGCGCUUGAUACUGGAUGGCUUGAGAUUGGGAGAGGGAUGCGGAAUUCCAGGUGUAGCGGUGAAAUGCGUAGAUAUCUGGAGGAACACCGGUGGCGAAGGCGGCAUCCUGGACCAACACUGACGCUGAGGAGCGAAAGCCAGGGGAGCAAACGGG